rnacentral:lncRNA from 1 species
GGGAGGUGGGGGUGGGGUUGGGUUGGGUUGGGUCCUGACGGUUAGAACGGGGUUGGGUUGGGUGCAGGAAGGCUGUGUUGGGUUGGGUUGUCCUGCACGGCAUCGGUCUGAUUUGAGACUUCAGGGCGCUUGGUCCCUCCUGGGGACGCCUGGAGUGAAGUUCUGCUGUCCCUGCAACCCUUCCAGGUGCAGCGCAUCGUGACGGCCAUCCACAGGAGCAGGAAGCUGAUCACAGAGGAGCAGGCACUGAGGACCAUCCGCAGCAGCUUCGCCUCACUAGCUGCCGCCAACCCUCGCGCAAUGACACUCAGCCUGCUGCGCUGCUCCCCCACCUGCGACAAGGACAUAUGGGAGCUGUGGGAGUUGGCGCUGUCCUCGGUGGAUGCGGUGCCAAAGAUGGUGCAGGCGCUGCUGCGUCAGCUGGAGACCGUGCCGCUGGGCCAGAAGACCGAGGUCGGCGUCCUUCACACGGCCGCGGCCACGGCACUGCAUAAGCUCCUGCAGUACCUGGAGUACGGCCCACAGGUGCGACUGGUUUUCCCGGAGCUCUUUGUGGUGCUCAUUAUCCAGUUGGUGUCCGCCGGGCCGCUAGCUCCGCUGGAGAUCACCGCCAUCACGGAGGACCCAUUCCGCCCAUCUGCGCCCACCUCUGCCAUCAGGACGGUGGUGGAGACGGCCCACAGUUUGCUACUGUGCGCCGAGAUGGACAACCUGGC